UACGUAGGGCGCAAGCGUUAUCCGGAAUUAUUGGGCGUAAAAGAGCUCGUAGGCGGUUUGUCGCGUCUGCCGUGAAAGUCCGGGGCUCAACUCCGGAUCUGCGGUGGGUACGGGCAGACUAGAGUGAUGUAGGGGGAGACUGGAAUUCCUGGUGUAGCGGUGAAAUGCGCAGAUAUCAGGAGGAACACCGAUGGCGAAGGCAGGUCGUCUGGGCAUUAACUGACGCUGAGGAGCGAAAGCAUGGGGAGCGAACAGG
rnacentral:rRNA from 1 species